UUUUGGAGUACUUUCAAAGAUGAAUUUGAGAAUGAGAAAAACAUGCUGGAAGGUCCACCUGUUGAGAAGGCAACAGAAGUUCUUAGACAGAGAAUCGUUGAACUUGGAAGCUGAGAAGCAUCUCUCCUACAUGGUUGUUUCCAACUCCUUGGUGGCAAAGAUAGACCGGUCAAUGGGACUCAUCUGGAACAGAUGACAAAAGACAGCAAUGACAUCUUGAACUUGUGGGCAAAAAUUUUGGGAAAGCUGCUUGAUCUUGUCGAGAAAAGUUGUCACCAAAUGUACAAGGAAACUAUGGCUUGUAUGGCUAUUUUGAGAGCUUGAAGAUGCUCUUGAUUGAA